CGACCUUGAAAUACCACCCUUUAAUGUUUGAUGUUCUAACGUGGACCCGUGAUCCGGGUUGCGGACAGUGUCUGGUGGGUAGUUUGACUGGGGCGGUCUCCUCCUAAAGAGUAACGGAGGAGCACGAAGGUUGGCUAAUCCUGGUCGGACAUCAGGAGGUUAGUGCAAUGGCAUAAGCCAGCUUGACUGCGAGCGUGACGGCGCGAGCAGGUGCGAAAGCAGGUCAUAGUGAUCCGGUGGUUCUGAAUGGAAGGGCCAUCGCUCAACGGAUAAAAGGUACUCCGGGGAUAACAGGCUGAUACCGCCCAAGAGUUCAUAUCGACGGCGGUGUUUGGCACCUCGAUGUCGGCUCAUCACAUCCUGGGGCUGAAGUAGGUCCCAAGGGUAUGGCUGUUCGCCAUUUAAAGUGGUACGCGAGCUGGGUUUAGAACGUCGUGAGACAGUUCGGUCCCUAUCUGCCGUGGGCGCUGGAGAACUGAGGGGGGCUGCUCCUAGUACGAGAGGACCGGAGUGGACGCAUCACUGGUGUUCGGGUUGUCAUGCCAAUGGCACUGCCCGGUAGCUAAAUGCGGAAGAGAUAAGUGCUGAAAGCAUCUAAGCACGAAACUUGCCCCGAGAUGAGUUCUCCCUGACCCUUUAAGGGUCCUGAAGGAACGUUGAAGACGACGACGUUGAUAGGCCGGGUGUGUAAGCGCAGCGAUGCGUUGAGCUAACCGGUACUAAUGAACCGUGAGG
rnacentral:rRNA from 1 species